UUGUUUAAUAUAAGAAGUCUAUCGUUGUCCUUUCAUUGGCUGUGGGAAUUAAUCAAUCCAGAUUUAUCUACGUCAAAAUGCAUGACUUACACGGUAAUACCUUGCACGUGUUUCUCUGCAUGAUGGCCGCUUUGGGCGUUGAAACCUCAGCUGUUGGAGAGCAUCGCCUCCCAAGUUCAAGGCAAGACAGGCUUCACUGAGCCUUGCGACCAAUAACAAUGGCCCAACAUUGCAUGACCGAAAAAACACAAUGGGAGAAUCAUUCCUUUGAUUAGAGAGGCGUGGAUUGUAUUGUACUUCUUUGAUGAACGUGCAGGUGGAUAAAGGAUGAAGAUAAUUUUACUCCUAUAAAAUUAUAGUUGCACAUGAAAGCAUAUAAGAGCUUAAAUUCUUGCAAGAGUGCAUUUAUAUAAUGUGCUAGUACCUAGUAUUGAGCAUGUCUCAUGAAUAUCCAUUUUGUUUGAGAUGAGAUUAGUGGUACAAAGGCUUCCUAUCUUUUGGGGUCCGAGCUGCCCUUUCUUUCCUUUACCUAUCAGGAUUAAGAAAUCUCAUCAAAACAUGUUUUCUACAUCAUUGAGUCCAAUUGCAAUUCUAGUUUCUUUGAGUCUAGGUACAAAUCAUGGAGGG
rnacentral:lncRNA from 1 species